rnacentral:misc_RNA from 1 species
GGGCUGCAGGGCCCAGGGAGUGGGUCCCUCAUCUCUCCUCCCCACGCUUGGCCAGGUCCCCACCUCCCGGGAGUGCGUGGGCUUUGAGGCUGUGCAGGAAGUGCCGGUGGGGCUGGUGCAGCCGGCCAGCGCAACCCUGUACGACUACUACAACCCCGAGCGCAGAUGUUCUGUGUUUUACGGGGCACCAAGUAAGAGCAGACUCUUGGCCACCUUGUGUUCUGCUGAAGUCUGCCAGUGUGCUGAGGGGAAGUGCCCUCGCCAGCGUCGCGCCCUGGAGCGGGGUCUGCAGGACGAGGAUGGCUACAGGAUGAAGUUUGCCUGCUACUACCCCCGUGUGGAGUACGGCUUCCAGGUUAAGGUUCUCCGAGAAGACAGCAGAGCUGCUUUCCGCCUCUUUGAGACCAAGAUCACCCAAGUCCUGCACUUCACCAAGGAUGUCAAGGCCGCUGCUAAUCAGAUGCGCAACUUCCUGGUUCGAGCCUCCUGCCGCCUUCGCUUGGAACCUGGGAAAGAAUAUUUGAUCAUGGGUCUGGAUGGGGCCACCUAUGACCUCGAGGGACACCCCCAGUACCUGCUGGACUCGAAUAGCUGGAUCGAGGAGAUGCCCUCUGAACGCCUGUGCCGGAGCACCCGCCAGCGGGCAGCCUGUGCCCAGCUCAACGACUUCCUCCAGGAGUAUGGCACUCAGGGGUGCCAGGUGUGAGGGCUGCCCUCCCACCUCCACUGGGAGGAACCUGAACCUGGGAACCAUGAAGCUGGAAGCACUGCUGUGUCCGCUUUCAUGAACACAGCCUGGGACCAGGGCAUAUUAAAGGCUUUUGGCAGCAAAGUGUCAGUGUUGGCA